AGUGAACGCUGGCGGUAGGCCUAACACAUGCCAGUCGAACGGCAGCACAGUAAGAGCUUGCUCUUACGGGUGGCGAGUGGCGGACGGGUGAGGAAUACAUCGGAAUCUACUUUUUCGUGGGGGAUAACGUAGGGAAACUUACGCUAAUACCGCAUACGACCUACGGGUGAAAGCAGGGGAUCUUCGGACCUUGCGCGACUGAAUGAGCCGAUGUCGGAUUAGCUAGUUGGCGGGGUAAAGGCCCACCAAGGCGACGAUCCGUAGCUGGUCUGAGAGGAUGAUCAGCCACACUGGAGCUGAGACACGGUCCAGACUCCUGCGGGAGGCAGCAGUGGGGAAUAUUGGACAAUGGGCGCAAGCCUGAUCCAGCCAUACCGCGUGGGUGAAGAAGGCCUUCGGGUUGUAAAGCCCUUUUGUUGGGAAAGAAAAGCAGCAGGUUAAUACCCCGCUGUUCUGACGGUACCCAAAGAAUAAGCACCGGCUAACUUCGUG
rnacentral:rRNA from 1 species